UACUGAAAAUUUCGAUGAUAAAAGUGAUAAAUCUGCGUGAACUGUUUGGGUUUUUUUCUUUUUGAAAUAUAAUCUUUGCAGUUAAUGUACUCUGUAUACUAAGAAUUCAUAUUGAUUUUGGAUAGAAUUUCACAAAAAGAAAUGCGCCAGGUCCUUAGGAAUCAACCCCCCUACCCCACCCCCCACACGGCACAUUUUUUGGAUGAUUGGAACGUAUACCCCUUUACAUCUGUCUCCCUACUUUGAAGUUUUUUCCAACGCCAUGACAUAAAUAAUAAAUAGAUAAAUAAAUAAAAAUGCAAAAAUAAAAAAGAAAGAUGUAUAUGUAUUCGGAUUGGCAUGUUCCACUUUGUCCGGGUUGAAAUCCCUGAGGAUGCAAAUGUACAUUACGCCGCACUGCUUGCAGUACGCACAUGGUACAGGCGUACCACAUAGGUAUGUAACUACUAAGACUAUAAACCAAACAGAAUAUGAUAUGUAAAACUAUUACUCUGAAUGCAUUUUACUUGUUUACAAUGUAGCCUGUCGGGCUGUGGUGUCACACGCGUGGUUUACACGUGCACUUUAGGUGGCAGUGGAGGAAAUUCGAACGAUGUAUGGAUUAUUGUCUCCUGGUAACUUUGGCAGUUACCUUUUGCUUUCAAUCUACUUUUUAAGAAUAAUUCAACCCUCGCUAAUCAUUUCCAAGCUGCAUUUCGAUCUUGGAAGAAUGAUCUUCAGCUACAAUACAAAAUUAAGGGAUGAUGUUGUAUACUGAGUUUUUCUUGAUUGUUUACAUCUGUGAUUGUUUAUGUGAUGUAUAAACUGAUCAAGCUGUACAGUGUCAUGACAUAUAGUGGCAUAGCUUCCAUUUAUAUGCUUGCGCAUCAUUUUGUCAGAAGAAGAAAUUUCUAAAAUUAAGAUUUUUAACAUGUAUAUGAUUAUAUGUGUUUGUUUGAUUUUAGUAUAAUACCUGUAGAGAAUAUUUCAGUAAUAUGAAGUGCGACACAUUUAGACGCAUGCAUGUGGUGUUUGAAGGUCUCAUCUGAAAGACCAGCAACUUUCUCUUUUGAAUGCUAAAUAUGACGAUGGAGCAUUCACCUCACUACCUACAUUUACACCCUAAAUAUUAAAUAAAAUACAUUAGCAUGGCUCGAAACCAUGAUUUCUUCAUCAAGAAGCAAAUGCUCUGUUACCACUGAGCUACCAAUUUUUUAACAUGAAUUCAUAGCUAAAAAUUUUAAAAAUUUAUAACUAAUUUUUUGGUUAAUUCCAUAAAUAUUAUUCCUCUCUCUAGACACAAUUCUGGGUAACCCCCUGCCUUUGGGGAUAUAAGCACAUCAUUUCUUUCAGAAUGGGACAAUGUCAGGAGAGCUUUUGUUAUUUGUUAUACUCUUAGUGUUGAUGGCAUCUAUGAACAACAGGAUAAUGUUUUUAGAUUAUUAUUUCUGAUAUCAUAUUUGUAAAUUGUUUAUGAGGGGUUGUUAAAGUUUGUGGACAAAAGGACACACUUAUUAAAAAUUCAAAGUUAUGAUAAGUAAAAAAUAUAGGAGAUGUGUAACAAGAUUGUAGAUUUGAACAUUUUAAUUUUAAUUAAUUUUUAUAAGUAUUGAUUUCAGAUACAUGUAUGACAUUGCAUGCUUGAUCAGGGAGGGGGGCUACAGUUAGAUAAUAUUCUGGUCAGCACAUUCGAUAAACUACAGUUGUACAUGGAACUCAUUAAAUCACUUCUUUUUCUUUCAGUGGUAUUCAACUUUUAAUCUCCAAGAAGGAAAUGUAAUUAAAAGAUGAAUAAAGUAUCCCUAAGAAUACCAGAAGAAAGGCUGUGUUGAGAAAAAUAGCCCUUCCUAAGUACCUCAGAACUAGAUGAUAGCCCUUGUUACUUUAUGCUGAAUAUGACACAGUAUAGAAGAUCUGAUCAUGAAGAAGUUACACCAUUGAUACACUUGCCAACUGCCAAAACUACUUUCUGAUAGUAUGAUGAGAUUAGAAGAUAUCAUGGUGUAGUCAUGACACAAACUGCAAAUCAAAGAUUGUCUUCCCCAGAGGAUGAACAGAGUGCUUCACAUGGAUAACAUUUCUUUUAGAGUUUUGAAAUUAUCAAACAUAAUUUUGCAUCAAAGAGAAAAAGUGGCUUUGACAUAACCUAGAAAAUACAAUAUUCAUUAAAAAGAGCAUGGCACCAGGAUAGCUAGAUGCCCAUAUUCCCAGCAAAAUGAGC